rnacentral:rRNA from 1 species
GACGAACGCUGGCGGCGUGCUUAAUACAUGCAAGUCAACUGAACUUAAGAUAGCAAUAUUUUAAGGGAGGUGGCGCACGGGUGAGUAACACGUAGGUAAUCUGCCUUUAGGUCUGACACAACCCCGAGAAAUCGGGGCUAAUAUCAGAUGAUGCAGCGGCUCGACAUCGAGACAGUUGUUAAACCUUCGGGGCCUAGAGAUGAGCCUGCGUCUGAUUAGGUAGUUGGCGGAGUAAAAGCCCACCAAGCCUGCGAUCAGUAGCUGGUCUGAGAGCACGACCAGUCACACGGGCACUGAGACACGGGCCCGACUCCUACGGGAGGCAGCAGUAAGGAAUAUUGGUCAAUGGACGAAAGUCUGAACCAGCCAUGCCGCGUGAAGGAUGAAGGCCCUCUGGGUUGUAAACUUCUUUUAUAGGGGACGAAAAAAGGGAAUUCUUUCCCACUUGACGGUACCCUAGGAAUAAGCACCGGCUAACUCCGUGCCAGCAGCCGCGGU